rnacentral:rRNA from 1 species
UACGUAGGGUGCAAGCGUUAAUCGGAAUUACUGGGCGUAAAGCGUGCGCAGGCGGUUUUGUAAGUCUGUCGUGAAAGCCCCGGGCUCAACCUGGGAAUUGCGAUGGAGACUGCAAGGCUUGAAUCUGGCAGAGGGGGGUAGAAUUCCACGUGUAGCAGCGAAAUGCGUAGAGAUGUGGAGGAACACCGAUGGCGAAGGCAGCCCCCUGGGUCAAGAUUGACGCUCAUGCACGAAAGCGUGGGGAGCAAACAGG